AAGUCGUAACAAGGUUUCCGUAGGUGAACCUGCGGAAGGAUCAUUACUGAUUUGGCGGACCGAGCGUCAGCGAGGUUCCGCGAUCACUUGUAUUUAAAACCCACACUUUGAAUGUAAUAUGUAUAUUUUUGUAUUUUUAAUAAUAAAAGAUCACUUUCAACAACGGAUCUCUUGGCUCUC
rnacentral:misc_RNA from 1 species